UACAGAGGGUGCGAGCGUUAAUCGGAAUUAUUGGGCGUAAAGGGCGCGUAGGCGGCCUGGCAAGUGGAAGGUGAAAUCCCUCGGCUUAACCGAGGAACUGCCUCCCAAACUGCUUGGCUUGAGACCAGGAGAGGUGAGUGGAAUUCCCAGUGUAGCGGUGAAAUGCGUAGAUAUCCGGAGGAACACCGGUGGCGAAGGCGGCUUCCUGGACCGACACUGACGCUGAGGCGCGAAAGCUAGGGGAGCAAACGGG
rnacentral:rRNA from 1 species